rnacentral:rRNA from 1 species
UUUGCCCGCUACCUCUUACCCAUGUCUUUUGAGUACUUACGUUUCCUCGGCGGGUCCGCCCGCCGAUUGGACAAAAUUAAACCCUUUGCAGUUGCAAUCAGCGUCUGAAAAACAUAAUAGUUACAACUUUCAACAACGGAUCUCUUGGUUCUGGCAUCGAUGAAGAACGCAGCGAAAUGCGAUAAGUAAUGUGAAUUGCAGAAUUCAGUGAAUCAUCGAAUCUUUGAACGCACCUUGCGCUCCUUGGUAUUCCGAGGAGCAUGCCUGUUUGAGUGUCAUUAAUAUAUCAACCUUCUCUUUUUGAGUGGUUUGGAUGUGGGGGUUUGCUGGCCUCUUAAAAAGGUCUUGGCUCUCCUGAAAUACAUUAGCAGAACAACCCUGUUCAUUGGUGUGAUAAACUAUCUACGCUAUUGAAUGUGAAGGGCAGUUUGGCUUUCUAACAGUCCUUGGACAAGCUCAUCAUUAAUGUGACCUCAAAUCAGGUAGGACUACCCGCUGAACUUAAGCAUAUCAAUAAGCGGAGGAA